GAGUUUGAUCCUGGCUCAGAUUGAAUUGCUGGCGGCAUGCCUUACACAUGCAAGUCGAACGGCAGCGCGUCCUUCGGGAUGGCGGCGAGUGGCGAACGGGUGAGUAAAGCAUCGGAACGUGCCCGGUAGUGCGGGAUAGCUCGGCGAAAGCCGGAUUAAUACCGCAUGAGAUCCGUGGAUGAAAGCAGGGGACCCUUCGGGGCCUUGCGCUACUGGAGCGGCCGAUGUCAGAUUAGGUAGUUGGCGGGGUAAAGGCCCACCAAGCCUGCGAUCUGUAGCUGGUCUGAGAGGAUGAUCAGCCACAUCGGGACUGAGACACGGCCCGAACUCCUACGGGAGGCAGCAGUGGGGAAUUUUGGACAAUGGGCGCAAGCCUGAUCCAGCCAUGCCGCGUGCAGGAUGAAGGCCUUCGGGUUGUAAACUGCUUUUGUACGGAACGAAAAGCCUCUUUUUAAUAAAGAGGGGUGAUGACGGUACCGUAAGAAUAAGCACCGGCUAACUACGUGCCAGCAUCCGCGGUAAUACG
rnacentral:rRNA from 1 species